UACAGAGGUCUCAAGCGUUGUUCGGAUUCAUUGGGCGUAAAGGGUGUGUAGGUGGCGCCGUAAGUCGGGUGUGAAAUUUCGGAGCUUAACUCCGAAACUGCAUUCGAUACUGCGGUGCUUGAGGACUGGAGAGGAGACUGGAAAUUCAUGGUGUAGCAGUGAAAUGCGUAGAGAUCAUGAGGAAGACCAGUGGCGAAGGCGGGUCUCUG
rnacentral:rRNA from 1 species